AUUCAGAUGACAAGUCCCAAAUAGGACGAUACGCUCGUACUGGAU
rnacentral:hammerhead_ribozyme from 1 species